CUAUACAUUGUCUCUUAUGCUUCAUAUUCUAUGGUAAAAAUUGCUUGAGACUCAUACACGGCUAUUUUUGAAAGUCAAAAGGUGAUGCCAAAAAUAAUUUUAUAAGUUUUGAUGAUGAUGAUGAUGAUGUUGACUUGGGAGGCUUGACUUGCACUAUAUACGGAUUGAACAAUGUGUGAGGAUAAAUAAUGAAAGAAAGACAUUGACCAAAACGGCAACAGUGAAAGAGAAGAAAGAUAAGAAGGAAGCUUCAAGGUAGACACAUGACAGCAAAUUUGGGAGUGUGGUGAAUCAAAAUCCAAAGGUGGAAUGAUGGACUUACAUCGGACUUGGUCGUCUCUGCAGAGCUCUCUGGCAAGGGUGGUUUUCCCGGAGCCACCAAUCCCACAAAUCCCGACAAUCCAAUCAGCAUCGUUAUUAGAGAAAACCAUCUCCAUAACCUUCUUCUUCCCGAAAUCCAACCCAACACCGAAACCGUUAUUCCCGUUACAACCUUCCACCCACGUCUCAUCUUCCUGCAUGCUCUUCACAGCCUCCUCCACCCACCCACCGCCGUUCACUCCGAUCUUCAUCUCCUCCAGAAACCGCUCCAUCCGCCGGUUCGACGCCUCCACCCGGUCGAACCGCUCCGCCAUCUCGAACCGCACGUGAUGCACGUCGGCCAGUAUGUGCGCCUGCAUGGGCACCUGCAGGAACCUCGUCACGUGCUUCUCCAGCUUCUCCAUCUUCUUCGCCAGCUGGAAGUUCCGGUACACGUUCCAGCGGCUGGAGGACAGCGCCUGGUGCGAAAGCUCCACGCCGGAACGCAGAAUCUCCGACAGGCGGUCCAGCUGAGACUGCCUCGGCGCCGGAAGCUCCACCCCGGAGUACUUGAUUUCCUCGAUGGUGGGAAGAAUCUCGCGCACGUAGGUGAUGAGUUGCUCCGCGCUGGACUUGCAGCGCAGGGCCUUUCGGGAAAUUGUGAUGAGCAUUUUCCAGAGAUCGGAGGCUAUCUCUCCGGUGAAUAGGUCCGUAAGGGCCAUGGUGGUGGUGGUGCUCUUCUUCUCUUCCUUUUUCUUCCUUCUUCUUCUUCCUUGGUAUUAAAGGAGUCAGCCAAUGGUGGCUCUUGCGAAAUGACGAUAUUGUCCUUGAGUUGCCAAUCAUCGUUUCUCAAUUCUCAGUACACCAAUAGCGUUCGGGCACACGUGACGUGAUCAACUUUUGUAUGGCGCAACAACAUUCAUUUCCAACCGUUGGAUCUGGGAACAUACGUUUAACUAACACCGCAAACUGUUAGUUAACUCUCGUACUUUGUCAUACUUCACAGCUUCAAGUAUUCUAGAAACACUUGGUAUUUUUAGGUUUAAUAAUUUU